AUGGCUGGCCGCCGGCGACGACAGCGCAGCAAAAACAAGCUCAAGGCAGCGUCGAGGAGCGACAUCCCGUCAGGGCCGACGACUGUCCACCAAAUCCCCGACCACCUCCUCGAGCUCGUGCUCCUCCGUCGCCCUCGUCCGAGCCGCCUUCACCUGCAAGCGCUGGCGCCGCCACGUCGCGGACACCGCAUUCCUGGCCCGGUUCCGUUCCCUCCACGCAGCCCACGUCGCCGGGCGGACGCGCUGGUCGCUCUACUGGUCGAUGGAGCGCGACGGCGUCGUGCUCUCUCUCGACGAGUCCACCCUGGAGUUCUCGCUCGUCAUGUUCCCGGAUGCUGUCGUGGGGUGGCGGGACGAGUUGUCAACCUUCUGGGUCAUCGGCGGCGAAGACGGCGCGGUGCGCGUCGUCCGCGUGAUCAACAGAGACCUGACGGUCUUUGCGCAGCUUCAGGGCGGCGGCGAGUGGGUGACGGAGAAGGUCGUGAGGCUGCGGCCAGCCCACAUUGUGGCGGCCAAUGA
rnacentral:rRNA from 1 species